rnacentral:rRNA from 1 species
UACGGAGGAUCCGAGCGUUAUCCGGAUUUAUUGGGUUUAAAGGGUGCGUAGGCGGCCUAUUAAGUCAGGGGUGAAAGACGGUAGCUUAACUAUCGCAGUGCCUUUGAUACUGAUAGGCUUGAAUGUACUUGAGGUAGGCGGAAUGUGACAAGUAGCGGUGAAAUGCAUAGAUAUGUCACAGAACACCAAUUGCGAAGGCAGCUUACUAAAGUAUGAUUGACGCUGAGGAACGAAAGCGUGGGGAUCAAACAGG